CCUACGGGUGGCAGCAGUGGGGAAUAUUGCGCAAUGGGCGAAAGCCUGACGCAGCGACGCCGCGUGAGGGAUGAAGGUCUUCGGAUCGUAAACCUCUGUCAGCAGGGAAGAACGGUCACUGUGCUAAUCAGCAGUGACUUGACGGUACCUGCAAAGGAAGCACCGGCUAACUCCGUGCCAGCAGCCGCGGUAAUCCGGAGGGUGCGAGCGUUAAACGGAAUUACUGGGCGUAAAUGGCUCGUAGGCGGUAUGUCAAGUCAAGGGUGAAAUCCCCGCGCUCAACGUGGGAACUGCCUUUGAAACUGGCAAACUGGAGUGUGUGAGAGGAUAGUGGAAUUCCAGGUGUAGGAGUGAAAUCCGUAGAUAUCUGGAGGAACAUCAGUGGCGAAGGCGACUAUCUGGCACAUAACUGACGCUGAGGAGCGAAAGCGUGGGUAGCAAACAGGAUUAGAUACCCUAGUAGUC
rnacentral:rRNA from 1 species